AAGACUAUACUUUCAGGGAUCAUUUCUAUAGUUAUUGACUUGAGAAAUGUGUUUCUAAAGUGUAUGGUCUCGCUAACCAUGAUGAUGAGAUGUGAUAUUCCUUCCUGAACAUGAACCUGACAGAGAAUAAUGAUUCUAUCAUAUGUUCUCUGUCAUUGAUGAUUGUUCUUUGCUUCUUAAUGAAGCUUUGAUGGAAGGAAUAUGUUCAGAGUGGU